UACGGGGGGGGCAAGCGUUGUUCGGAAUUACUGGGCGUAAAGGGCUCGUAGGCGGCCAACUAAGUCGGAUGUGAAAUCCCCAGGCUUAACCUGGGAACUGCAUCCGAUACUGGAUGGCUUGAAUCCGGGAGAGGGAUGCAGAAUUCCAGGUGCAGCGGUGAAAUGCGUAGAUAUCUGGAGGAAUACCGGUGGCGAAGGCGGCAUCCUGGACCGGCACUGACGCUGAGGCACGAAAGCGUGGGGAGCAAACAGG
rnacentral:rRNA from 1 species